rnacentral:lncRNA from 1 species
UCAGAAUAUGUAAAAUAUAAACAACGCUAGAUACAAAUUUGGUGUGAUGGCUCCAUAUGAUAUCAGCAUAUAUUAUUCAACUUUAUUAUUCAUGUCUUUGACGUUUAUCACAUGAUGUCAUACAUAUCCAUGACUAGAGUGUAGUUCUAGUUACAAACUACACAUAUGCAAUAGUUUUUAGUACAUGAAGCUUUCUUGAUGUUCUUUCCUGGGUAUGUAAUUUCGCAGCCUAUCUGACAUUCACCCUGGGAGCAACCGAACACCCAAAAUCGGUGUGAUUCACAAAUCUCUGUAAGUAGGAACAUAUCAGUAAACUGAUGCUUGUUUGUCUAGGUCUCACAGGAUGUUAUUAGAUGAUCUCCAGAGAAAUAGCAAGUGUAAGAAUAAAAUAAAACCACAAGAAGGAACACAUCUUGCUAAAUACUCAACUAUACUCUAAGAAAAUAAAUAAAUGCAAGCCUUGAAUUAAAAAACAACUCUAUUGCUUUUCUUCUAACAUGUGGCUAAUUACCUACUAUUAUGUUUGUUGUGAAAGAGAAAGAUAACAUGAGCGGGGAUAGUGGACGUGCGAGCAUACCUGCAUAUGUGAAAUUUCCUAGCAACACAAGCACCGUCAGGAAACAAAGUAUAGUUUUCUCCAUCUGCUGAGGGCACAAACACUAAAUUCUUUGUCUGCACUCUUUCUUCUGUGUUUAUCUUUUAGCUCGUGCAAACAGUCUUUAUAGCCUUCUGAGAACAUAUAUUGCCGACAUUUUAAUUAAUUUGAAGAUCAAAGAUAUCACAAACCACAUAAUGGCCCAUUAAUAUUGUUAGCAAAAUAACACCAGAUUUAUUUAUACAAAUAUCAAUAUAAAUAUAUGCCACUAUAAAGUAGAGAUCUUGUUCACUGAUUGAUAUCUAGCCAUUCAAUUGAGCACAUUAAUUAGGGACUAGCAGGCAAAGGCGCGGCGGCACGCCACGCCCGUAAGAGAGCCCAUGUGUAUGCCUCUGUUGUUUGUUUUUAUGAGAGAAGAAGAGUUAGUAGCUCUAAAAAGUGGCCAGUGAGGUGAAAGUUUUUGUUUACUUAGUGGAUUCAUGUAUCCUUGCAUUUUUCAUUUAAUACCUGUGGGUCGCGGUUACAGUUUUUGUUUGAAUUUCUUUUUUUUUGUAAAUCGAGCUGAUUGUUUUCAUUUCCGGCUAUAUGUACGAGUAAUGCAUAAAUUGCUGUAAGCAAAAUAGUUAUUGUCUAAUAUUUGGCUCGUAUGAAUCAGUGGCAUGCAAUGGAUCUCCCGAAAACUGCUUUUGAACCCAUUGUGCCCUUAUUAUCUGGAAUCUCGUACGCCUGUGCGUGUGGGGCAAUACAGUCUAUUCGUUUGACAUUGGUGGAUUUGCAUUUUUUUAUCAAUGGCACCUUUUUGUAUUAUGUAAGGGUCGUAUAGUUGAAUUGUAUGACCAAAAAAUAUUCAGACUGGGUUUUAUCAUGGAUCUGGCAUCUAGGGAAUGGUUUUACCUGAUGUUCCUUUUGCAUCGUUAGCAUUUUGUCAUUGUCCCAUGGGCAUAUUCUUUGCAUAGUUCUGUUUCGAUACGCCCCCCCCCCCCUAAACUCAUCAAGGGCUAAGAUUAGACAAUACCCCUUCGUUAUGAAGGGCAUAAUGGUCUUAAGUAAAAAAGCAGCCAGCCCGCCCACACCCCUCCUUCGUAUGAAUACGCGCCGAACCGCGCGGUCGCCGAGCCGUGUGACGUCCGUGGGCGUGGUGGGCCCAUGAUAUCAGCCCGGUGGGACGCCGCACGCCCAGUCGUACGCACGUGGAUUAAACUAAAAGAAAUCGUGCAUCGAUCACGCCACGUGGCGAAACCGCAGCGUCAUGGGCGUUUGAGACGGGCCGGUCAACACGUCAAACGCACCGCCCGUGGGGCCUGUCGCCCGUCGCCAUCGCAUCGCUUCACCGCCAUUAACACCAGGUCGACUGAGCGUCUGCCGCCCCCCGUCGUGUCGCUUCUCCCGCUAUAACCACCGGCGCGGAUGCCCAUAGGAGCGCCUUCGCACGAUGCUCCAUUAACACGGCCAUAAUGGCCGGCCAGCGGCCUCCACCACCCAUCCACCUCUCUCGCCACUCUAUAAGAAGGCACCGCGACCCGGCAUACCUCGCCCGCACUCUCCUCCUGUCAUCUUCCCCCCUCACCUCCCCACCCUUCCCUCGCCACGCUCGCCAUGUCUGGCACCCGCAAUUCUUGAGGAGGCAGCGCGCCCCCCGCCGGUUGGUCUCCGUCGAACAUCGGCAUACCCGAGGCGUUGGAGCUGUGGCGGUACAACAUCCUCGUGCCUCCCUCCUCGCAUCUACCGGGUACGUGGCACAUCAGUGCCGCCGGGUACGCAAUACUGGCCCCGCCGGACCCUGGAACGAGGUUGUCCAUCAACCCGGCGGCUGGUGGAACCGGCUAGGUCGUUGGCAGUUUUGGAGGGGCCGCCACUGGGACGACAUCCUCCCCGAGGAUGAAAAUAUGCCCUAGAGGCAAUAAUAAAGUUGUUAUUAUUAUAUUUCCUUAUUCAUGAUAAAGAUUUAUUAUUCAUGCUAGAAUUGUAUUGAUCAGAAACUUAAAUACAUGUGUGCAUACAUAAAUAAAAUACGGUGUCCCUAGUGAGCCUCUACUAGACUAGCUCGUUGAUCAAAGAUGGUUAAGGUUUCCUAACCAUAGACAUGUGAUGUCACCUGAUAGCAGGAUCAUAUCAUUAGGAGAAUGAUGUGAUGGACUGGACCCAUCCGUUAGCUUAGCAUAUGAUCGUUCAGUUUAUUGCUAUUGCUUUGUUAAUGUCAAAUACAUAUUCCUUCGACUAUGAGAUCAUGCAACUCCCAGAUACCGGAGGAAUACCUUGUGUGCUAUCAAACGUCACAACGUAACAGGGUGAUCAUAAAGAUGCUCUACAGGUAUCUCCGAAGGUGUCUGUUGAGUUGGCGUGGAUCGAGAUUAUGGUUUGUUACUCUGUGUGUUGGAGAGGUAUCUCUGGGCCCUCUCGGUAAUACACAUCACAAGAAGCUUGCAAGCAAAGUGACUAAAGAGUUAGUUACGAGAUGAUGUAUUAUGGAACGAGUAAAGAGACUUGCCAGUAACGAGAUUGAACUAGGUAUGAAGAUGCCGAUGAUCGAAUCUCGGGCAAGUAACAUACCGACAGACAAAAGGGAAUUACGUAUGUUGUCAUUAGGUUCGGUCGGAUAAAGAUCUACGUAGAAUAUGUAGGAACCAAUAUGGGCAUCCAGGUUCCGCUAUUGGUUAUUGACCGGAGAGUCGUCUCGGUCAUGUCUACAUCAUUCUCAAACCGUAGGGUCCGCACGCUUAACGUUCAUUGACGAUAUAGUAAUAUAUGACUUUUGUGAUUUGGUGACCGAAUGUUGUUCGGAGUCCCGGAUGAGAUCACAGACAUGUUGAGGAGCUCCGAAAUGGUCUGGAGGUAAAGGUUGAUAUGUAGGAUGAUGCUAUUUGGACAUCGGAAAGGUUUCAGAGUGUAUCGGGUAGUCAUGGGAUCACCGGAAGGGGUUCCGGGAAGCCCCGGGAGGUUAAUGGGCCUUAUGGGCCAAGAGGGGGGAACACACCAGCCCACAAGGGGUUGACGCGCCCCUUCCCUUGGCCGCCGGCCCUAGGGCUGGAAAGGGGGAGGGCUAGCCCCUCUUUCCUUCCCUCCACCUAGGAGGAAGGAAAGGGGGGGCGCCACCUCCUCCUGCCUCCCUCCACGGGCAUACAAGGAAGGGGGCACUAGAGGGCAGGAGACCAAGGGGGCCGGCCGGCCACCCUUGGGGCGCUUCCUGGCUACCUUUCCUCCCCCAACUAUAUAUAUGAGGGAGGGGGCGCCACACAAACCCACGAUAAUCUCUUAGCCGUGUGCGGCACCCCUCUCCAUAGUUUAGUCCUCCGUCUAGUUUCUCCGCAGUGCUCGGCGAAGCCCUGCGGUAACGAGUUCACCGUCACCAUCACCACGCCGUCGUGCUGCCGGAACUCAUUUACUACUUCACCCGUCUUGCUGGAUCAAGAAGGCGAGGUCUUCAUCGAGCUGAACGCGUGCUGAAUGCGGAGGUGUCAUAUGUUCGGUAUUUGAUCGGUUGGAUCGUGAAGAAGUUUGACUACAUCAACCGCGUUAAUAAAUGUUUCUGCUAAACAGUCUGCGAGGGUACGUAGACACACUUGAUGAAGCUGUGUACCUGGGGUAGGGGCACGGACCCGUCCAAAGAGUCCUACCCAAGGACAUCCCUAGAAGAAAUCACCUAUCAAUCGACUUGAAGGUACUCCACUCGACAGGUUCAAGACACUCGACCAAGAAGCUACCACUCGACCAUGAAGCUAAUCACUCGACUGCCAGGAGACCUACAGUCACUCCGUAGGCAAACGAUCAGCUGUUAAGUAGUCUUCAUGGUCAUUAUAGCACUUUAUUAGAGGCGUUACCAGUAACGCCCAAUCUUAAAUGUACUUUAAACCCUGCAUUACUGAGGGCAGGAGGGGGCCGACGAACUCUAUAUAAGCCACCCCCCUCCUCAGUAGGAAGGGUUUGCACCCCUGUAAUCCAUACAUGCAUAAUCCAGUCGACCGCCUCCGGGCUCCGAGACGUAGGGCUAUUACUUCCUCCGAGAAGGGCCUGAACUCGUAAACCUCGCGUGUAACAACUUCCCAAUAGCUAGGAUCUAGCCUCUCCAUACUCACCCCCUACAUCACUGUCAGCGUCAGAACCACGACAGUUAGCGCCCACCGUGGGGCCGGAAUCUUAGCACUUAGUUGGAGAAGUUGCGAUCUUUUCCGAUCCCUUUGAUCAUGUUUUCUUGCGGAGUUUUGGUGGAGGGCCGCGAGAUCCGUCUCGGCGCGCUCACCUUCAUCGCUGAUGACUCCGCCUGGCUUCAGGAGGCACCACUCGACAUCGACGCGCUCCCCGUUCGCGGCGCGACGCACUUCCGCGCAUGCAUUCAUGGCGUCCUCCUGCGGCAGCCGUCGACCCAGUAUUGGUCGACCCCUGCGUCGUCUCCCUGCCCUGUCUCCCACCAGCGCAAGCGCUCCGGUCGGUCGAGACUUCAGCGGUGGGUGAGACACGCCGUGGCCCGCCAGUCGGCAGCCCCACAAGUUGCGGCAAUCGAGCCCGUCGAGUCCCUCUAUGGCCUGUUCGACCUGUCGAAUGGCUCCGUGGGGACCGCAUCCGAGUGCGACAGCAGCGACCC